GGGUUGUGAGGUUAAGCGAAUAAGCGUACACGGUGGAUGCCUAGGCAAUCAGAGGCGAUGAAGGACGUGCUAAUCUGCGAAAAGCGUCGGUAAGGUGAUAUGAACCGUUAUACCCGACGAUAUCCGAAUGGGGAAACCCAGUAUCCAAUGGAUACUAUCAUUAACUGAAUCCAUAGGUUAAUGAGGCGAACCGGGAGAACUGAAACAUCUCAGUACCCCGAGGAAAAGAAAUCAACCGAGAUUCCCCUAGUAGCGGCGAGCGAACGGGGAGCAGCCCAGAGUCUUAAUCAAUAACAGUGUCAGGAGAACGGUCUGGAAAGUCCGGCAGUAAAGGGUGAUAGCCCCGUAUCUGAAGAUGCUGUUAUUGUGAACUCGACGAGUAGGGCGGGACACGUGUUAUCCUGUCUGAAUAUGGGGGGACCAUCCUCCAAGGCUAAAUACUCCUGAUUGACCGAUAGUGAACCAGUACCGUGAGGGAAAGGCGAAAAGAACCCCGGCGAGGGGAGUGAAAAAGAACCUGAAACCGUGUACGUACAAGCAGUAGGAGCCUCUUUAUGGGGUGACUGCGUACCUUUUGUAUAAUGGGUCAGCGACUUAUAUUCUGUAGCGAGGUUAACCGUAUAGGGGAGCCGUAGGGAAACCGAGUCUUAACUGGGCGAAUGAGUUGCAGGGUAUAGACCCGAAACCCGGUGAUCUAUCCAUGGGCAGGUUGAAGGUUGGGUAACACUAACUGGAGGACCGAACCGACUAAUGUUGAAAAAUUAGCGGAUGACUUGUGGAUGGGGGUGAAAGGCCAAUCAAACCGGGAGAUAGCUGGUUCUCCCCGAAAGCUAUUUAGGUAGCGCCUCGUGAACUCAUCUUCGGGGGUAGAGCACUGUUUCGACUAGGGGGUCAUCCCGACUUACCAACUCGAUGCAAACUGCGAAUACCGAAGAAUGUUAUCACGGGAGACACACGGCGGGUGCUAACGUCCGUCGUGAAGAGGGAAACAACCCAGACCGCCAGCUAAGGUCCCAAAGUCAUGGUUAAGUGGGAAACGAAGUGGGAAGGCUCAGACAGCCAGGAUGUUGGCUUAGAAGCAGCCAUCAUUUAAAGAAAGCGUAAUAGCUCACUGGUCGAGUCGGCCCGCGCGGAAGAUGUAACGGGGCUAAACCAUGCACCGAAGCUGCGGCAGCGACACAUAGUGUUGUUGGGUAGGGGAGCGUUCUGUAAGCCUGCGAAGGUGUACUGUGAGGUAUGCUGGAGGUAUCAGAAGUGCGAAUGCUGACAUAAGUAACGAUAAUGCGGGUGAAAAACCCGCACGCCGGAAGACCAAGGGUUCCUGUCCAACGUUAAUCGGGGCAGGGUGAGUCGACCCCUAAGGCGAGGCUGAAAAGCGUAGUCGAUGGGAAACGGGUUAAUAUUCCCGUACUGGUGGUAACUGCGAUGGGGGAACGGAGAAGGCUAGGUUGUCCGGGCGACGGUCGUCCCGGUUCAAGCAGGUAGGCAGAGUGAUUAGGCAAAUCCGGUCACUUAAUGCUGAGAUGUGAUGACGAACCACCAAGGUGGUGAAGCAAUUGAUGCCCCGCUUCCAGGAAAAGCCUCUAAGCUUCAGGUUACCAACAAUCGUACCCCAAACCGACACAGGUGGUCAGGUAGAGAAUACUCAGGCGCUUGAGAGAACUCGGGUGAAGGAACUAGGCAAAAUGGUGCCGUAACUUCGGGAGAAGGCACGCUGGCGGUAGGUAAAGUCCCUCGCGGACAGAGCUGAAGCCAGUCGAAGAUACCAGCUGGCUGCAACUGUUUAUUAAAAACACAGCACUGUGCAAACACGAAAGUGGACGUAUACGGUGUGACGCCUGCCCGGUGCUGGAAGGUUAAUUGAUGGGGUUAGCGCAAGCGAAGCUCCUGAUCGAAGCCCCAGUAAACGGCGGCCGUAACUAUAACGGUCCUAAGGUAGCGAAAUUCCUUGUCGGGUAAGUUCCGACCUGCACGAAUGGCGUAAUGAUGGCCAGGCUGUCUCCACCCGAGACUCAGUGAAAUUGAACUCGCUGUGAAGAUGCAGUGUACCCGCGGCAAGACGGAAAGACCCCGUGAACCUUUACUAUAGCUUGACACUGAACAUUGAGCCUUGAUGUGUAGGAUAGGUGGGAGGCUUUGAAGUGUGGACGCCAGUCUGCAUGGAGCCAACCUUGAAAUACCACCCUUUAACGUUUGAUGUUCUAACCUAGGCCCAUAAACUGGGUCGGGGACCGUGUCUGGUGGGUAGUUUGACUGGGGCGGUCUCCUCCUAAAGAGUAACGGAGGAGCACGAAGGUUGGCUAAGCAUGGUCGGACAUCAUGCGGUUAGUGCAAAGGCAUAAGCCAGCUUGACUGCGAGUGACGGCUCGAGCAGGUACGAAAGUAGGUCUUAGUGAUCCGGUGGUUCUGAAUGGAAGGGCCAUCGCUCAACGGAUAAAAGGUACUCCGGGGAUAACAGGCUGAUACCGCCCAAGAGUUCAUAUCGACGGCGGUGUUUGGCACCUCGAUGUCGGCUCAUCACAUCCUGGGGCUGAAGUAGGUCCCAAGGGUAUGGCUGUUCGCCAUUUAAAGUGGUACGCGAGCUGGGUUUAGAACGUCGUGAGACAGUUCGGUCCCUAUCUGCCGUGGGCGUUGGAAGAUUGAGAGGGGUUGCUCCUAGUACGAGAGGACCGGAGUGAACGCACCACUGGUGUUCGGGUUGUCAUGCCAAUGGCAUUGCCCGGUAGCUAAGUGCGGAAGAGAUAACCGCUGAAAGCAUCUAAGCGGGAAACUUGCCUCGAGAUGAGUCUUCCCUGUCGCUUUAAGCGACCUAAAGGAACGUUUAAGACUAAGACGUUGAUAGGCUGGGUGUGUAAGCGUAGCGAUACGUUGAGCUAACCAGUACUAAUGAACCGUGAGGCUUAACCUGACAACACCGAAAGUGUUUUG
rnacentral:rRNA from 1 species